UACGUAGGGUGCAAGCGUUUGUCCGGAAUUAUUGGGCGUAAAGGGCUCGUAGGCGGUUUGUCGCGUCGGGAGUGAAAACUUGGGGCUUAACCCCAAGCCUGCUUCCGAUACGGGUGGACUAGAGGUAGGUAGGGGAGAUCGGAAUUCCUGGUGUAGCGGUGAAAUGCGCAGAUAUCAGGAGGAACACCGGUGGCGAAGGCGGGUCUCUGGGCCGGAUACUGACGCUGGAGGAGCGAAAGCGUGGGGAGCGAACAGG
rnacentral:rRNA from 1 species